rnacentral:lncRNA from 1 species
UUGAGCUAUUAAUAAAUAAAAGGGUAUAGCUAGUUACCGGCAAUAAAACUGCAAAAUGGAUGAUUGCAAGGAAUCACCAGCCACAUCUUAUUAAUAGGCCUCUGUGAGCUAAUUGAAAAGGAUUACAGCAUCACUAACAGUGGCAAUCUUCUAUGAUUUUAAUAACGACCAAAGUGUGUAUGUGUGUGUUUGGGCUGCUCCUUCUCUUCCCACCGGCUUUAGGCAAUAGUUAAAAAUGUGGCCACAAGAAUUCAGAUGUUACCUGUUACCUGCUUAGCCUAAACUGGUUCAGGGUGAUAACUGACUAUAAUCCGGUGUCAACAAUUCUAAGGCAGCAGGAGAAACUUGCUUAUACUCUGUAGCUGAAAAUAAACUAUGGAAAAAUCUCACAUUGGAAAUUCCCAUGAUUUUCAAAAGUGAUAGGAAUCCAGACUUCACUCAGUUUUAGGUUUUACUCUGGUGGUUACAGCAAUGAAACCACCUCCACUCCAGUCCUUUCGGUUUCGUGGGCUUAAGAUUCAUUUAUACUUCUUUUAACUCCGGUCUUUGGCCCAUUUUCUGUUGGGUAGGUGGGUCUUACUGACAGCUGGAGGUGUUUUCCUGUGAAAGAGGUGACUCCUUUGUGAUCUGAUGCGAAAACAUUCCUCACAAUUUAUUAUUUAUUUAUUCUUUGACUUACACUGUUUCUCAAGCAUCAGCGCUCUUUCUUUGUAUGGUUAAACUUAGGAAUCUUUCAUGGCUUCUGGAUUUGGGGCUACAGAAAGACUUAUGCUUACUGCAAGAGUAAAGAUAUUUCCCCAGUUUUCCUUUAGAACUGCUGAGGUUUUUUAAAAAGCUAAAUUUUUUAUUCAUCUGAAGUUAACUCAGUGAGGCAUGAGGAGUGGAUUCAACUUCAUUUUUGUUUAAGCAGCUACCCAUCUGCUCCACUCCCGUUUAUUUGUGGUCUGUAUUUUUCCCCGUGGCUUGAUACGUCAAUUUUAUUAUAUUGUAUUUUGCGUGACUUUCUAACUAUCUCUGGAUAUUAUAUUCUACUGCACGAGCCUGUCUGUCUGUGUAUAAGCCAGCAUUCCCCGCUCUGAUUACUAAGGCUUCGUACUAUCUUUUCCUAUCUAGUAGUACCGUUCAACUUCGCCUGCCAUUGCUCAUGUCACACUUCUUUUUUCUUUUCACGGCUGCACCUGCAGCAUGUGGGAGUCCCCAGGCUCGGAGUCGAACUGGAGCUGCAGCUGCCGGCCUGCACCACAGCCAUGGCAACACCGGCUCCGAGGCAGCAUCUGUGAUCUAUGCCGCAGCUCGUGGCAACGCCAGAUCCUUAACCCACUGAGUAAGGCCAGGGAUUGAACCCACAUCCUCACAGACACCGUCGGGUUCUUAACCCACUGAGCCACAAUGGGAACUCCUUUUUCAUACUUUUAAAUCACUAUUCUUGCUCAUUUCUUUUUUGUGUAAAUUUGAGGAUCAGUUUAGUUGGGGGGGGACUUUGGAUCACAUUAAAGUUUUUUGUUGUUGUUGUUUUUUGGGUUUUUUUUUUCCCCCGUCUUUUUUUUUAGGGCUGUACCCAAGGCAUAUGGAGGUUCCCAGGAUAGGGGUCGAAUCGGAGCUGUAGCCACCAGCCUACACCACAGCCAUAGCCACGCGGGAUCCAAGCCACGACUGCGACCUACACCACAGCUCACACCAACGCCGGAUCCUUAACCCGCUGAGCGAGGCCAGGGAUCGAACCCACGUUCUUAUGGAUGCUAGUCGGGUUUGUUAACCACUGAGCCACUAUGGGAACUCCAGACCACAUUAAAGUUUUAAAUUAAGUUAUGGAGAACUGGCGUUUUUAUGGUGCUGUGUGUCUUAUCCAGGAGCAUAUGUUACAUUCCUACUUCUUCAAGUUCUCUUUGGGAUGAUUUUUAGUGAUGCUUUAAAAGUUGUCUUCACAAGGAACAUCGCUUAUGUGUGGAUCUAACAAGAUGCUACAGAUGAACUUUUUUAUAAAACAGAAACAGCCUCGCAGACGGGAAAACACACGGUUACCAAAGGGGAACGUGUGUGUAUGUAACUGAGUCACCGCGCCAAACGCCGGAAACUAACAUAACGUAGUAAAUCAACCACACUUUAAUUUUCAAAAAACAGUUUGUUAGAAUUUUUCUGGUGAAAUCACCCAGUCCUGCUGCGUUUAUGAGGCGGGGCAGCUCUUUAACAACGUUCUUUGUUUCUCAGCCUCCAGCAUUCUUCUCUCUUCCAGUUUUAUGGCCAUGGCUCUUCUGCUGUUCAGAAAUCUUGGAUUUUCUUCUCAUAAGUUGCCUUUGUAACGAAAUCCUUCUAUGAUGUCCUUCUCCCUCCCUUUCUUUGGACAGUAUCUACGGCUUUGCUACCAUGAGAGUAAGAACACGAGUUCAGGGGUUAGCUCUGCAGGCCAGUGGGACCAGCGGCGUCUCUGAAGCCCCAGGACGCAGGCUCAGUCCUGGCCUGGCCUAGGUCACAGCUGCAGCUCAGACCUGAUCCCUGGUGCAGGGGACCAAGAAGCAAAAAACAACAGACAAACACAAAUAGCUCAUAUCCUAAUACAGAAUCCAGACUGGCAGCUGGGGCAGGGGCAGCAGCAAGAAGAAAGGAGGACACUGGGGGGCACUCCUGAGAUGCAUGGUGUCCCUCCCUGCCUGCGGCAUCUGCACAAGGAUUAGCUCCGGGGUGAGCUCUGUGACAGGAAGUGCCAACACUUGGGCAGUAAACUCGUAAAUGUGCUCAAUGCCAUUAAACUGUACACUUUAAAAUGGUUAAAAUGGUAAAUUUUUUGAUAAAAUGGUAAAUUUUAAGUGCCAUUAAACUGUACACUUUAAAAUGGUUAAAAUGGUAAAUUUUUUGAUAAAAUGGUAAAUUUUAACUACUGGCCCAGAGCCCAGAAAUCCUGAGGUGGGACUGCCUCCAGGUCAGAGAGGCAGGAAGGUUUUCCAGGAGAUGCGAAGGCCGUCCAGGGAGGAGUGCCUGCGGGGUGUGUGCGCGAGAGUGGACGGGCUUCCCUUUCCGAUUAGCCCUCAGGACCUGCUGACCUGCAGACCCUGGCCCCUCCACCCACAUCUCACUGCUGUCAAGAGCUUUUUCCCUUGUGCGGGGGGCAGACAGUGGUAUUUAUUUAUUAAUCAGGACGUUGCCCUUUGUUUAUUCCAAUUUUGAGACUCACUCCCUCUCUCAGGUGUGGGAGAGGCACGGGCAGAGGAAACGAGGAUGAGGGGACACCACCGACUCUUCGUAUCAGUAGCCUGAUGUCGCUGGAGAGCAUCAGCGUGGCCUGUGGGCGAGGGGUCAGCGGGGAGAAGCUGCCAAGGCAGGAAGGGAUCAGAUCACAAAGGCCUUUGACUAGCGAGAAUGGUGUUUUUCAGGGCUGCACCUGCAGCACACGGAAGUUCCCAGGCUAGGGGUCGAAUUGAAGCCGCCUACACCAUAGCCACAGCAAUGCGGGAUCUGAGCCAAGUCCGAGACCCACACCAGAGCUCAUGGCAACGCCGGAUCCCAGACCCACUAAGCGAGGCCAGGGAUCGAACCUGUAUCCUCAUGAAUAUUGGUUGGAUUCAUUCUCACUGAGGCACGAUGGGAACUCCCUGCACCGUCUAGUUGACGGUAUGGGUUAUUUCCAGUUCUGUGCUAGUGUGAAUACAGCCGUCAUGGACAGUGUUACAUGUGUCUUUGGGUGAACAUACGAAGUAGCUCCUCGUAGGCGUAGAAGGAGGUUGUCCGUUUUGCUGUAGUAGAUUUUGCCCAGCAGUUCAGCAGAGUGGUUGCAGCAGGGGAGUUUGCACUUGAGCCUGAAGGGGCCGGGCUUGCUGGGAGGAGGUUUGCCUCUUCCUCCGGCAGCCCCCGAGGAAGAUGCUGAAAGGGGGAUGAGGACGCGCCCACGAGGAGCAACAGGCCAGGUGAGGGACGCUGGGCCCUGGGCUCUGGAUGCCCGCCUGGAGGAGGAGAGCGGUUUAGGGAGAUCGUGAGAGGGUUUGACUCUGGUGCCAAGAGAGCCAGUGGAGUCGGGAUGACUGCAGGUGUCUGAGCUGUGUCUGCAGAAUGCUGGUGGCCUCUCUAUAUAAGCGCGGAAGCGCUCGAGAAGGGCGGGUUCGAGGGAGAAGGUGAACUGCGCUUUGAGCAUCUGUUUGUUUGUUUGCUUUUUUGGCCGCCCCACAGCAUAUGGAGUCCGGGGCCGGGGAUCAGAGCUGAGCAGCAGUUGUGACCUAUCCUGCAGCAGCACCAGAUCCUCUUAACCCUCUGUGCUGGAUGGGGGAUGGAACCCGCAUCCUGGUGCUGCAGAGAUGCUGCUGAUCCCUUUGUGCCGCAGAGGGAACUCUCAUCUUGAACAUCUUGGAUCUGAGGGAGCUCACGCUGGAGGCAUCCAGUAGAUAAACAGAGAACUGAAGCUGAGAGGAGAGAUCCGAGCUGGAGAUUUCUCUCACGGGAACGCGGGAAUGAGCGAGCAUCAGGGCCAGGAUGUAGAAAGAGCAUCCCCAGAAGAGGACCGAGGAGGCAUUUCCUGAGAGCUAGGAGGACAACCAGGAGCUUGCCUGCUGCAGGGAAACAAGAGCCAAGGGAGAGAGCAUUUCUAAAGGGAGUUUCCAGAGGCUGCUGAAGAGUCGAAAAAGCGGGGCACUGAGAGGUGGGCAGCGAACGCAGAGUCCUCCUGAGCCGCACGUGGUUUCCGCUUCCGCCGUCUUCCUGGGGCCCCAGGCCCCCACCAGUGCGACGGCCAGGCUGGGCUGCCUGUCCCCUCCGGUCUGGUUCAUGGCCUCUCAGCCUGGGGCGGGAAGAGGGAGGUUCAGGAACCAUGCGGGGACCUCAGGGGGACAAUAGAGGGCGGACAGCCGCUGGCCCUGGGCCCGCCAAGCCCCUCCUGCAGCGGGUCCCUGACGUUGGAGCACAGAUUUCCCCUGGAGCCCUCCAUGGAAAUUCCCAGUUAUUAACCAUCUUGACUGUGAUCGGAAGCGUCAGAAAGGUUUGCGCAGGAAUCCGGGAGCUGACCCGCUGAAAGCACAUCUGUAUGGAAGUUAGGGCAAACAAAAUAGGAUUCCGAACAUUUUUGGAGAUCUGUGCCAGCUGUAAACGUUUCCAGGAAACACAACAAAAACUGACUCUCUUAGGCAAAAAAACAUUGGGUCUUAGAACUACUUUGUAUCCUUACUGAAAUAUAAGCUCGGGGGACCAGUGAAGGCAAAGAAUAGCGUGUCUGGUUUCUUGCCCGGCACAAGGGGCUGGAGAAGACGCCUAGAGAGCUGACUGGGCAGCCUUGUGUAUUUAGAUGCUUUGACUGGAGCCAAAAUGGUCUGUGCCACACAGUGGGCACUUUUGGGUUGGAUUUUAAAGGAAAAUAACUUUGAUCAUUUCAAAAGCAAUGACGCUUAAUGCAGCGGAGAGAAAAGAAGGUGGUAAUUUAUGGCCACUGUUAGGGACACAAAGACAAAGACGGAGAGAACCGUUCACCUAGUGAAGAUUUACAAAUGUGUAAAACCACCCUUAGGACUAGAAAUAGCUGAGUGUCUCUUGGCACCAAACAAAAGGGGGCGAGAGUGAGGAGGGAAAGAAAAAACCUGCCUGCCUUCGCUGGGGAUGAAGAGGUCAAAACAAAAACAAAAACAAACCAACCACAGCAAAGUUCUUAUUUUCUCAGAUUCUCCAGCAGACAGCAGCGGCGCUAGCAAUGAAGACCCGAAGAGGCAGUCCCAGCCCCGCGGGGCAGCAGCGGAGAGGGCAGGGGGCUGGGGGCCCGGGGAGGGCGGUGGACCCCAGGAAGAUAAGGUUUUGUGCCUGAGCUCGGUGGGGAUUUUUUGUGAUGUUUAUUUUUUUCUGAUUAUCAAAGGAAUGUAUAUACACACACACACACACCUGUAUGGAUGUACCUAGUCAUAGGGAAAAUUUAAUAAAUGCAGAGAAGCUCAAAGCACAG